GACGAACGCUGGCGGCGUGCUUAACACAUGCAAGUCGAACGGAAAGGCCCUGCUUUUGUGGGGUGCUCGAGUGGCGAACGGGUGAGUAACACGUGAGUAACCUGCCCUUGACUUUGGGAUAACUUCAGGAAACUGGGGCUAAUACCGGAUAGGAGCUCCUGCUGCAUGGUGGGGGUUGGAAAGUUUCGGCGGUUGGGGAUGGACUCGCGGCUUAUCAGCUUGUUGGUGGGGUAGUGGCUUACCAAGGCUUUGACGGGUAGCCGGCCUGAGAGGGUGACCGGCCACAUUGGGACUGAGGUACGGCCCAGACUCCUACGGGAGGCAGCGGGGGGGAGUAUUGCACAGUGGGCGGAAGCCUGAUGCAGAAACGCCGCGUGCGGGAUGACGGCCUUCGGGUUGUAAACCGCUUUCGCCUGUGACGAAGCGUGAGUGACGGUAAUGGGUAAAGAAGCACCGGCUAACUACGUG
rnacentral:rRNA from 1 species